rnacentral:rRNA from 1 species
AUUGAACGCUGGCGGCAUGCUUUACACAUGCAAGUCGAACGGUAACAGGGUGCUUGCACCGCUGACGAGUGGCGAACGGGUGAGUAAUGCGUCGGAACGUGCCGAGUAGUGGGGGAUAACGCAGCGAAAGUUGUGCUAAUACCGCAUACGUACUGAGGUAGAAAGUGGGGGACCUUCGGGCCUCACGCUAUUCGAGCCGCCGACGUCUGAUUAGCUAGUAGGUGAGGUAAAGGCUCACCUAGGCGAAGAUCAGUAGCGGGUCUGAGAGGAUGAUCCGCCACACUGGGACUGAGACACGGCCCAGACUCCUACGGGAGGCAGCAGUGGGGAAUUUUGGACAAUGGGCGAAAGCCUGAUCCAGCCAUGCCGCGUGUCUGAAGAAGGCCUUCGGGUUGUAAAGGACUUUUGUCAGGGAGGAAAUCCCUAGUGCUAAUAACACUGGGGGAUGACAGUACCUGAAGAAUAAGCACCGGCUAACUACGUGCCAGCCGCCGCAGUAA